AGCCAGGAGAGCUUUAUUUUCCCUCUUCAAUAACUUUUAAUUGAGCUGAACCGAAAAAUAUGGUGGUGAACAGAAUACUAGGUGGGAGUAGACAGCUACUGCAGUUCAACCAACUAGCCCUUUGAGCGUAGUCACAACAUCACCAGCCUGUUAGAACCAAAUAUUGUGCGAAGACAGUCAGUUCAAUGCUGCUGUACAAUUCUUUUUGUUGGCUUCCUAAUUUAAGGUAAAAUGCGGCACAAAACACAAUAAGAACCGACACGAUAAGGGACUUGAUGGUACUGCCGGAUUCCCUGUUCUUGAUAGGAGCUCUUCUGUGCCUUAACUGUAGGCAGCUUGCAUAUUCCACAAGUCAUCUGUGUUCAAUUGAAUACCCUGCAGCAUACCUGGGACCAGCUAUUAUUCCAGCAUAGAAAAACUGCGUGCAUUGCACAGAGAGAGAAGUCAUUAGGUCAAUUAUGUACUGGGCUUUAUAAGUAGGUUGCUCAAUUAAAUGGAGGGCUGUAACCGAUGGAUCAAAGAUGUGAUGCAGAACAUUACAGUAAAACAGAAUGAAAAUAAGAUGCACACUCAUUAAACCCAUUAAAAACUGUGAGAAGAUUAUUUGGCCUGGAACUAUGAACUCAUACCUCUACAGCCUGAGGGGACUUUGCACUAUUCAUCCCUAAAUCCACUACCAUGGACAUGUUGUAGGUAAAAAAUGAAGCUGUGUUUACAUUUGCUGUUAGGUGGCGGCCUCUAGUGGCUGCAGUAAUCAUUACAGCUGCAAAGGAGGAAGUGAGGAAAAAAGUCAGCAAACGGAGGAAUUCAGGGAUGGAGGGUCAGGUUAUGCAUUCAGGAGACAGUUGUUUGUGUCCUGUGUGCAACCAGAAGUCAACAUGCCUUGAGAUGAUAACUUGAAUCAAUAUCUUGUCUGGUAAGUGUAAAAAAAUCUCGAUGCAGUGAGGGUCCACUGGUAGGUUCAUUCAGCUGUGUCUGGAGGUUUAUUUAUAACCUGCCUGAACAUCACCACUUGUGUUUCUUGCCCUGUCAGGCUUCUUUUAGUGAUAUUGCAAAUACAACAAAAACUAAAAACAAACAAACAACGGCACAAAACACAAAAAUUCAGAUCCAAGCUGUAAUAAAACGUAUCUUUCAUA